rnacentral:rRNA from 1 species
GCGGAGGAAAAGAAACCAACAGGGAUUGCCCUAGUAACGGCGAGUGAAGCGGCAACAGCUCAAAUUUGAAAUCUGGCCUCGGCCCGAGUUGUAAUUUGUAGAGGAUGCUUCUGGCGCGGUGCCUUCUGAGUUCCCUGGAACGGGACGCCAUAGAGGGUGAGAGCCCCGUACGGUUGGACACCAAGCCUGUGUGAAGCUCCUUCGACGAGUCGAGUAGUUUGGGAAUGCUGCUCAAAAUGGGAGGUAUAUCUCUUCUAAAGCUAAAUACCGGCCAGAGACCGAUAGCGCACAAGUAGAGUGAUCGAAAGAUGAAAAGCACCUUGAAAAGGGGGUUAAACAGCACGUGAAAUUGUUGAAAGGGAAGCGCCUAUGACCAGACUUGUGCCCGGCGGAUCACCCAGCGUUCUCGCUGGGGCACUCCGCCGGGUCCAGGCCAGCAUCGGUUUUCGCCGGGGGAUAAAGGCUUGGGGAACGUAGCUCCUCCGGGAGUGUUAUAGCCCCUUGUGUAAUAUCCUGGCGGGGACCGAGGUACGCGCUCCGCAAGGAUGCUGGCGUAAUGGUCAUCAGCGACCCGUCUUGAAACACGGAUCAAGGAGUCGUCCAUUAGAGCGAGCGUUUGGGUGUUAAACCCGCACGCGUAAUGAAAGUGAACGUAGGUGAGAGCUUCGGCGCAUCAUCGACCGAUCCUGAUGUCCUCGGAUGGAUUUGAGUAUGAGUUUUACUGGACGGACCCGAAAGAUGGUGAACUAUGCCUGUAUAGGGUGAAGCCAGAGGAAACUCUGGUGGAGGCUCGCAGCGGUUCUGACGUGCAAAUCGAUCGUCAAAUAUGGGCAUGGGGGCGAAAGACUAAUC